rnacentral:rRNA from 1 species
AACAAACGCUGGCGGCGUGUCUUAAGCAUGCAAGUUGAGCGGCAAGGAGGAGAGAUCCUCCCUAGAGCAGCGGACUGGUGAGUAACGCGUGGGUAAUCUAUCUUAGGCAGUGGGGAUAGUCACUAGAAAUAGUGGGUAAUACCGAAUAAGUUCCAUAAGGGGAGGACUUAUGGAAGAAAGGUGCUACGGCACUGGCCUUAGGUGAGCUCGCGUCCCAUUAGCUAGUUGGUGAGGUAAAGGCCCACCAAGGCGAUGAUGGGUAGCCGGCCUGAGAGGGUGUACGGCCACACUGGGACUGAGAUACGGCCCAGACUCCUACGGGAGGCAGCAGCUAAGAAUAUUCCGCAAUGGACGGAAGUCUGACGGAGCGACGCCGCGUGGAUGAAGAAGGCCGAAAGGUUGUAAAGUUCUUUUGCUAGGGGAGAAUAAGUGUGGGAGGGAAUGCCUGCACGAUGACAAGGACUAGCGAAUAAGUCCCGGCCAACUACGUG